rnacentral:rRNA from 1 species
AAUAGAUACCCCGGUAGUCCACGCCCUAAACGAUGUCUACUAGUUGUCGGGGGGUAACUCCUUCGGUAACGCAGCUAACGCGUGAAGUAGACCGCCUGGGGAGUACGGUCGCAAGAUUAAAACUCAAAGGAAUUGACGGGGACCCGCACAAGCGGUGGAUGAUGUGGAUUAAUUCGAUGCAACGCGAAAAACCUUACCUACCCUUGACAUGCCACUAACGAAGCAGAGAUGCAUUAGGUGCCCGAAAGGGAAAGUGGACACAGGUGCUGCAUGGCUGUCGUCAGCUCGUGUCGUGAGAUGUUGGGUUAAGUCCCGCAACGAGCGCAACCCUUGCCAAUAGUUGCUACGAAAGGGCACUCUAUUGGGACUGCCGGUGACAAACCGGAGGAAGGUGGGGAUGACGUCAAGUCCUCAUGGCCCUUAUGGGUAGGGCUUCACACGUCAUACAAUGGCUGGUACAGAGGGUUGCCAACCCGCGAGGGGGAGCCAAUCCCACAAAACCAGUCGUAGUCCGGAUUGCAGUCUGCAACUCGACUGCAUGAA